AUCCAGCUGCCGAGUCCUAGAUAGAACGAGAUGCGCAUCCUGAAU
rnacentral:hammerhead_ribozyme from 1 species